UACGGAGGAUCCAAGCGUUAUCCGGAUUUAUUGGGUUUAAAGGGUGCGUAGGCGGCCUGGUAAGUCAGGGGUGAAAGACGGUAGCUCAACUAUCGCAGUGCCCUUGAUACUGAUGGGCUUGAAUGGACUAGAGGUAGGCGGAAUGAGACAAGUAGCGGUGAAAUGCAUAGAUAUGUCUCAGAACACCGAUUGCGAAGGCAGCUUACUAUGGUCUUAUUGACGCUGAGGCACGAAAGCGUGGGGAUCAAACAGG
rnacentral:rRNA from 1 species